CCACCAUGUAUGUUGUAUUCUCACAACAUUUAGACUCUCUCAUAUCCCUCAAACUUCUAUCCACAUUCGUUGCUAGCUCAUAAAGCUCGAUCGAUUUUCAACUCCACGAACAAUUCAUCCGCCAUAGGUAUGAUCGACUUAGCUAUUCGGUUCGAGUCUAAGGCAAUUUUUCACAAUUUUGGUGGCUAAAUAUGUGUUAGAAGAAUGACAGAACCAAGAGAAGAUAAGGGCAAAACGUUCGGUAGCCGCGAGGGAGAUUGCGAGGUGUGUAGGAUGUGGUUAGCUGGAGAAACCGUGGACGCUACGAAAUGGUUCGCUAAAUGAUGAAGAUCGUAUAAAGUCCGAAACUAAAUCUGGUAAAUCCAACAGAAUUUCACCCCCUGCUGGCAAGAUAGCCCAUAAUGAAAUUGAUAUGAGUUCUGAACCAACAAGUGCUGAUGUGGAAAAUGAUGUUUUUCUAGAUUGCUUGUAAAAAAGUGAAAGAUGGAACAAAUAAUGAAGAUGAUCAAGGACCUUGUCACCCCUCCCAUUUUUGUUAAAAUAGUAUCACUGCCUAUGGUAGUGACGUGACAUUUUAAUAAACUAUUUUAGCU
rnacentral:lncRNA from 1 species